rnacentral:lncRNA from 1 species
GGGUCCGCACACACACAAACAUGAAAUUAAUAUUAAAAAGAAUUUCUAACUAAAAAAAAAUCAAAUCAUUAUUAAGCCGGGACCGUGAAGUCAAAUCUUAAUAAAUUAAAAAACGGGACAAGGUCAAGUCAAAAGUGACUCUCCGCAUAGCAAUAAUUGUACAGUGAUUUUUAUAAUUUCUAUAGAGUCCCAAAAGCUUAUAUAAUUUGAUUUCCAAAUAAUUUGUAACCCGCAGCUCUUAAAAUGAAAAAGAGAUAUUUUAUAUUGGAUUGCCAGCUUAAUUUUUUUUACCCUGAAAUUGAAGUCAAAGCAAAAUUAUAAUCAUGUCAUUCACAAGACAAAUUUCCUCUCGCCCACAUAUGAGAAGGAGAGUUGUGGAGAGUUUAUCGUGCUCUCAGCCGAUCUGAAACACUGCGAAAGAGCUGCUCACCUUGUAUGAGAAGAAUCAGUGGCAGAUCUUUGAAGGUUAGACUCUUCUGUAGAGGAUUAACUGCUAUAAGCUUGAUUAAGCCUUUGGCAUUGAAUGCGGAUGUCAUACCCGUCUUACCCAAGGUACGAUCGAUGCACAUUUAAUAUGAUAAAUAUGAAAUUAUUAGUGCUUAUACAUCACAUGGUGGAAAUAUGUCCCUUUUCAAGUAUCAAAAUACUGAGGCUCUAAAAUUUUCAAUAUUAUGUGAUGCGAAAUCUUUGAUCAACGAUGUAAUUUAAAAUCACAUGAUACUCAAAUAGUAUCAAAAACUUAAAUAAUAAAUACAUCAUCUCUAAUCAACCUACUAUCAAUUAAAUGAUAUGAACUAAGAUAAUUGAGAAGUUAAAAUAAUUAUAAAAACGGCACAAGAAUACCUUGAUGAUGAUGAGUUGAUUCAAUUCCUUAUUCAAUGAGAAGAUUGAAGAACACUUCACUUGUUGAAGAUAAAAUUUUUAAUUUUAUUAUCUUAAACUUGAAUGAUUACAACCAUGAAUUUGAAGACUUAUUUAUGGUUGUAGGUCAUUUGAAAUAUAAGAAAAUAAAUUUCAUAAAUUAAUUAUAAAAAUUACAUAGAA